AUGAGAUUCACUUUCGUUCUUGCCGGGUGGCCUGGAUCGGUUCAUGAUAUGAGGCCCUUCAAGGAUGCCCUUAGCCGGUUUAGUCACAAGUUUCCUCAUCCACCUCCAGGAAAAUUUUAUCUUGUUGACUCGGGCUACCCCAACAAGGCGGAUUAUCUUGCACCAUAUAGGGGACAGAAGUACCAUUUUCAAGAGUUCCAUCAAGGCACCAUGCCGAGAGGUAAAAAAGAGCACUUCAACUACACUCAUUCUAGACUACGCAAUGUCAUUGAGCGUUCUUUUGGAGUCUUGAAAAAUAAGUGGAGGAUCCUUUUUAAAAUACAAAGUUAUCCUCUACACAAACAAACAAAAAUUAUUGUUGCAUGUAUGGCCUUGCACAAUUUUAUCCGCGAAAGUCUGUUGGAGGAUAAAGAAUUCGACAGGUGUGAUAGAGAUGAGAAUUAUCAACCUCUCCUUGAGGAAACAAGGAGGAGGCAUCGUAACAGGAGGGAUCUAGAAAUGGAGCAAGAUUCGGUCGACAUGAAUCAAUUGAGAGAUAGAAUUGCUGAUGGUUUGUUCCAGGGCCAUUGA
rnacentral:rRNA from 1 species